CGUGGGAUGACAUGGCUCGGCGCCCUCCAGCUGCUGCUGCCGCUGCCUGUCCUGCUGGGUGGCCACCUCCUCUCAGGGAAGAAGAGCACUCACAACUGCUGCUGAUCUCCUUCCAGGGCUUCCGCUGGGACUAGGAUCAGGAUGUGGACACCCCCAACCUGGACCAUCUGGCCGGGGAGGGCGUCAAGGCCAAGUACCUCAUGCCGCCCCUUGUCACAAUGACCUCCCCGUCCCACUUCACUGCCAUCCCAGAAUCCCAGUGGCCACUAAAAUAGAGGGAUUCCAACCCAAAAAGGAGGAAGAGGAGGCUGCUGGAAAGCAAAGGACUCUGUGUAAGAAUCAUAAUAGUGGGGGUGGAGCCAAGAUGGCCGAAUAGGAACAGCUCCAGUCUACAACUCCUGGCAUGAGCGAUGCAGAAGACAGGUGAUUUCUGCAUUUCCAACUGAGGUACUGGGUUCAUCUCACUGGGGAGUGUCAGAAAGUGGGUGCAGGACACUUGGUGCAGUGCACUGAGCAUGAGCCCAAGCAGGGCGAGGCAUUGCCUCACCCGGGAAGUGCAAGGGGUCAGAGAAUUCCCUUCCCUAGUCAAAGAAACGGGUGACAGAUGGCACCUGGAAAAUUGGGUCACUCCCACCCUAAUACUGCACUUUUCCAACAGUCUUAGCAAACGGCACACCAGGAGAUUAUAUCCCGUGCAUGGCUCAGAGGGUCCUAAACCCAUGGAGCCUCACUCAUUGCUAGCACAGCAGCAUUGAGAUCAAACUGCAAGGUGGCAGCAAGGCUGGGGGAGGGGCACCUGCCAUUGCCUAGGCUUCAGUAGGUAAACAAAGCAGCUGGAAAGCUCCAACUGGGUGGAGCCCAACACAGCUCAAGGAGGCCUGCCUGCCUCUGUAGGCUUCACCUCUGGGGGCAGGGCAUUGGUAAACAAAAGGCAGCAGAAUCCUCUGCAGACUUAAAUAUCCCUGUCUGACAGCUUUGAAGAGAGUAGUGGUUCUCCCAGCAUGCAGCUGGAGAUCUGAGAAUGGACAGACUGCCUCCUCAAGUGGGUCCCUGACCCCCGAGUUGCCUAACAGGAGGCACCCCACCGCAGGGGCAGACUGACACCUCACAUGGCCGGGUACUCCUCUGAGACAAAACUUCCAGAGGAACAAUCAGGCAGCAACAUUUGCUGCUCACCCAUAUCCGCUGUUCUGCAGCCUCCACUGCUGACACCCAGGCAAACUCCAACAGACCUGCAGCUGAGGGUCCUGACUCUUAGAAGGAAAACUAACAAACAGAAAAGACAUCCACACUAAAACCCCAUCUGUACGUCACCAUCAUCAAAGACCAAAGGUAGAUAAAAC
rnacentral:lncRNA from 1 species